rnacentral:rRNA from 1 species
UAGGGGUUUCCGCCCCUUAGUGCUGCAGCUAACGCAUUAAGCACUCCGCCUGGGGAGUACGGUCGCAAGACUGAAACUCAAAGGAAUUGACGGGGGCCCGCACAAGCGGUGGAGCAUGUGGUUUAAUUUGAAGCAACGCGAAGAACCUUACCAGGUCUUGACAUCCUCUGACAAUCCUAGAGAUAGGACGUCCCCUUCGGGGGCAGAGUGACAGGUGGUGCAUGGUUGUCGUCAGCUCGUGUCGUGAGAUGUUGGGUUAAGUCCCGCAACGAGCGCAACCCUUGAUCUUAGUUGCCAGCAUUCAGUUGGGCACUCUAAGGUGACUGCCGGUGACAAACCGGAGGAAGGUGGGGAUGACGUCAAAUCAUCAUGCCCCUUAUGACCUGGGCUACACACGUGCUACAAUGGACAGAACAAAGGGCAGCGAAACCGCGAGGUUAAGCCAAUCCCACAAAUCUGUUCUCAGUUCGGAUCGCAGUCUGCAACUCGACUGCGUGAAGCUGGAAUCGCUAGUAAUCGCGGAUCAGCAUGCCGCGGUGAAUACGUUCCCGGGCCUUGUACACACCGCCCGUCACACCACGAGAGUUUGUAACACCCGAAGUCGGUGAGGUAACCUUUUAGGAGCCAGCCUCCGGAGGUGUC